ACGGCCACAUCACGUUGAAACACUGGUCCCUAUACGAUCACCGAAGUUAAGCAACGUCGAACCUUGUUACUACUUAUAUGGGUGACCUCUUGGGAAAUAUCAGAGUGCUGUAA